UACGGAGGGUGCAAGCGUUACCCGGAUUCACUGGGUUUAAAGGGUGCGUAGGUGGGCUAGUAAGUCCGUGGUGAAAUCUCCAAGCUUAACUUGGAAACUGCCGUGGAUACUAUUAGUCUUGAAUAUUGUGGAGGUAAGCGGAAUAUGUCAUGUAGCGGUGAAAUGCUUAGAUAUGACAUAGGACACCGAUAGCGAAGGCAGCUUGCUACACAAUCAUUGACACUGAGGCACGAAAGCGUGGGGAUCAAACAGG
rnacentral:rRNA from 1 species